AUAUAUAUAUAUAUAUAUAUAUAUAUAUAUAUAUAUAUAUAUAUAUAUAUAUAUAUAUAUAUAGUGAUGUUUUAUGGUAUCGUUAUUGUUUUCUAACCAUUUGUUUGAAAAAUAAAUUACUUUAUUGAUGUAGAUGUAGUGAUACAAGUAUUUUGAUCUGAAUAUAUAGUAAAUUAUCUAUUUAAGUGAUUUCAGUUGGAGCUUAAUUUAAUUUAAUUUAAUAUAAUAUAAUAUAUAACAUAUAAUAUAAUAUAUAUAUAUAUAUAAUUAUUAUUUCCAAUUAAGCCCCAACUUAAAUAGAUAAUGUAGUUUAAAGCAAUUGUACUGGACCACAUUCUUUGAUAUUUCUUUAACUCUAUUUUGUGUUUAUUUACUGCCUUUGAGCUUCUGAGUGUUUUUCGAAGUGAACGUUAAGCUGCAGGUUGUUACUUUGAUCCAACGUCAUUUUUAGUUUUGUAUUUCUAUUAUUAUUUAUUCUUGUUGAGGUUCAGUCGACUAAUUGUGAAAAGUUAAUGAGCACUGAAGUUAAUACAUGAAUAACGUUGAAUAAAAAUAAAAAAUAUUUUUUUUAAUUA